GCGCGAAUAGUAUAGUGGUUAGUAUAUCUGCCUUCCAAGCAGACAGCCCGGGUUCGAAUCCCGGUUCGCGCA
rnacentral:tRNA from 2 species